UAGGGAAUCUUCCACAAUGGACGCAAGUCUGAUGGAGCAACGCCGCGUGAGUGAAGAAGGUUUUCGGAUCGUAAAGCUCUGUUGUUGGUGAAGAAGGAUAGAGGUAGUAACUGGCCUUUAUUUGACGGUAAUCAACCAGAAAGUCACGGCUAACUACGUGCCAGCAGCCGCGGUAAUACGUAGGUGGCAAGCGUUGUCCGGAUUUAUUGGGCGUAAAGCGAGCGCAGGCGGAAGAAUAAGUCUGAUGUGAAAGCCCUCGGCUUAACCGAGGAACUGCAUCGGAAACUGUUUUUCUUGAGUGCAGAAGAGGAGAGUGGAAUUCCAUGUGUAGCGGUGGAAUGCGUAGAUAUAUGGAAGAACACCAGUGGCGAAGGCGACUCUCUGGUCUGCAACUGACGCUGAGGCUCGAAAGCAUGGGUAGCGAACAGG
rnacentral:rRNA from 4 species